UACGAAGGGGGCUAGCGUUGCUCGGAAUCACUGGGCGUAAAGCGCACGUAGGCGGCUUUCUAAGCCAGGGGUGAAAUCCUGGAGCUCAACUCCAGAACUGCCUUUGAUACUGGGAAGCUCGAGUCCGGAAGAGGUGAGUGGAACUCCGAGUGUAGAGGUGAAAUUCGUAGAUAUUCGGAAGAACACCAGUGGCGAAGGCGGCUCACUGGUCCGGUACUGACGCUGAGGUGCGAAAGCGUGGGGAGCAAACAGG
rnacentral:rRNA from 1 species